CAAUCAAAAGAACCACUUCAAGCAAUACGUACCACAUACCAGAUUCCUUCUACUUCCUUUUCUAGCAAGAACACGCCCAGUCCAAGACGAAACCCAAAAAACCAGUAAAAGUCAACAACGACAGCAACUCCAAACGGCGUGAACAGUACCCCUCCUUUUGCGGAAUCACAACUUUUCACAUCUCCUUUCUCAAUGUCUUGAAAAGGAACGAUGUAUUCGAAUUUCAAAUUCGAAAAUUUCACCCUCUAUAUAAACUACCCCUACCCAUCGUUGAAGGAAGGGGCGAGCAUAGGGAGUUUUUGGAUCGGAAAUUGGACUUUUUUUAUGGAUUAAUUUGCCACUCUUGAAGAAACAGGGAAUUUUCAUUAAGAAAUAGGAAUGUCGAAUUGCUAAAAUAGCACUUUAGGUUUAAGAUUUUUCUCGAGGAAAACGUCCUUCUUUUUAUACUCCGGAGCAGUUCACCGGAACUCAUCUCGUUGCUUCAUAGUCAAGCUCGUUGAUUCCAAUCGCUUAAAAAGGAGCAAUCUAAGAAAACCUACAAAAAAGGGCAUGUGAAUACUUGAUAGUGGAUGCUCGAAACAUAUCUGCAGAAAGAAGCAAAACUUCAAAACAAUAAAAAGAAUAGACGGAGGAUGUGUUAGAUUUGGAGACAAUACCAAAGGAGAAGUUACCUGAGUCGGAACUAUUACACUCAGUUCAGCAUGCGAUUUAGUCAAAGUAUACUUAGUCGGAGGACUCCAACAUAAUCUACUCAUCAUGAGUCAACUGUGUGAUGUUAUAUUUCAAGUCAUAUUCAAUACAACCAAUUGCAUCAUUAAACAUCAUGAGAAAAGGCUGUCACUUAUAAGAGAUUGAGUAAACAAUAUUUAUAUCUUAAAUAAUGUUGAUUGUCCAUCUCUUACCUAUCUUACUGCAGUUGCAAGCGAUCCAUGGCUAUGCCAUCGAAAUCUUGGACACACAAGCAUGCACGCUCUUGAAAAA